CUGAAAAAGGGAAGUAAUUCUAGGUAGAAGCAAAAACCUGGUAGAGAUUAACAACAUGUGGCAGGUUAGCUGAUUUCUGCUGCAGAGCAUGCGUUAGGUGAUCAAUAUCAGUGGCUAAUCAGGGGCAGGAGAUUCAAUCCUUAUUUGUUGCCUGCUGACACGGAGCAGUGGUACAUCAGAAAUUCAUGUAAUGUGAGCAAUUGCUAUUCUUAUCUCGUCCAACUGCUUCCUCCCAGAUAACUAGCCUCAUGCUUUCCAGACUGAUUGUUCAAUAAUAUGGACAUGUGACCUGAAUUAUGGAUUAGAUAUGUCCAGCUAACGAUGUUAUGCAAUCCUCCUGUACUUAAGGUAAUCUAUUUUAUCUGUUAUCGCAUCUGAUAUAUUUUUUACAAGGCUUGGUAUGCUAAUUUACUUCUUUCUCGGAGCUUGUUCGCACUGCUAGCAGUUCCAUGAUACUUAGAAUCUCGCAUCGUU